UACGAAGGGGGCUAGCGUUGCUCGGAAUCACUGGGCGUAAAGCGCACGUAGGCGGGUCGUUAAGUCGGGGGUGAAAUCCCGGAGCUCAACUCCAGAACUGCCUUCGAUACUGGCGACCUUGAGUCCGGGAGAGGUGAGUGGAACUCCGAGUGUAGAGGUGAAAUCGUAGAUAAUUCGGAAGAACACCAGUGGCGAAGGCGGCUCCAGCUGGCCCGGUACUGACGCGUGAGGAAGCGAAAGGCGUGGGGAGCGAACAGG
rnacentral:rRNA from 1 species